rnacentral:rRNA from 1 species
UAAGGAAUAUUGGACAAUGGGGGCAACCCUGAUCCAGCCAUGCCGCGUGCAGGAUGAAAGUGCUCAGCACUGUAAACUGCUUUUGUUCGGGAAAAAUUCCCUGGUUUCUACCGGGGUUGAUUGUACUGAAAGAAUAAGGGACGGCUAACUUCGUGCCAGCAGCCGCGGUAAUACGAAGGUCCCAAGCGUUAUCCGGAUUUAUUGGGUUUAAAGGGUGCGUAGGCGGACUAUUAAGUCAGUGGUGAAAUCCUGCAGCCUAACUGUAGAAUUGCCAUUGAUACUGAUGGUCUUGAGUACAUUUGAAGUGGGCGGAAUGUGUCAUGUAGCGGUGAAAUGCUUAGAUAUGACACAGAACACCGAUUGCGUAGGCAGCUCGCUAAACUGUAACUGACGCUGAGGCACGAAAGCGUGGGGAGCAAACAGGAUUAGAUACCCCGGUAGUCC